GCCGCUUUACCUUGCAUUGGCCCUUCUUGAAGGAUUUGUUUGAGUGAAAGUGGACUCCAAAGCUCUCAAAAUCAGGCCACUGACCCCACACUGAAGAGGCACCGACAGAGGAUGACAAACUGUCAAAAUCUGAAGCAAAAGUUUCUCCGAAAACUGUCCUGAAGCUUCUUGAGAGCUGGUGAUGAAGGAGCAUUCGGUGCGACUAUAGAAGACUUCUCAAACAUCAAGUAAGUUGAAUAGAACCCCACACCAAUCUGUG
rnacentral:lncRNA from 1 species